rnacentral:tRNA from 1 species
GCGCCGCUAACUCAGUGGCAGAGUUUCGGUCUUAUGAGCCGACGGUCGAGGGUUCGAACCCCUCGCGGCGCG